AUUGAACGCUGGCGGCAUGCCUAACACGUGCAAGUCGAACGGUAACGCGGAGAGCUUGCUCUCUGGCGACGAGUGGCGGACGGGUGAGUAAUACUUAGGAAUCUACCCAGUAGUGGGGGACAACAUUCGGAAACGGAUGCUAAUACCGCAUACGCACUACGGUGGAAAGUGGGGGACCUUCGGGCCUCACGCUAUUGGAUGAGCCUAAGUCGGAUUAGCUUGUUGGUGAGGUAAUAGCUCACCAAGGCGACGAUCCGUAGCUGGUCUGAGAGGACGAUCAGCCACACUGGGACUGAGACACGGCCCAGACUCCUACGGGAGGCAGCAGUGGGGAAUAUUGGACAAUGGGCGCAAGCCUGAUCCAGCAAUGCCGCGUGUGUGAAGAAGGCCUGCGGGUUGUAAAGCACUUUCAGUAGAGAAGAAAAGCCUAGGGUUAAUACCCCUGAGUCUUGACGUAACCUACAGAAGAAGCACCGGCUAACUCCGUG
rnacentral:rRNA from 1 species